GUCAGAGGGGCAGGAAGGGAGGGUGCUAGCUAAGUGGUGCGGGGCCCAGAGGCAGGGCUGGAUGGGGUGAGUUGCACAGGGCAGCAGGGACGCUCCUGUGUGGUGAUACCAGGAUCUGCUUCCCCCCCACUUCACGGUGCCCGGACUGGGCCCCUUACCCUGCCCCUCCCCUCCCCCGGCAGCUGAGCCUCCUGCCCCGUGACCCACAGCAAGGGCAGGGCCCAGCUGCACACCCCCUCCACCCCACUAUGGGCUCACAGAUGCCCCCAAGUCUUCAACCCAGGGACACUGCCCAGCUCCCCGGGGCUCUGGCACUGCCAGUGACACAUUCACUUCCAUGGGGAGGGCGGGGGGGGGGGUUGCCGUGAGGCUGCUUGUGCCAGGCCCUGCCUUCCUGCCUCACCCCAGGGCUGCCCCCAGGAGCUGGGCUGGGGAACCAGCAGCGCCAGCUCUGCCUGCUGGGCUCUGGCAGUGCCAGAGCUGGGGACGGGGGCUGGCAGGACUGGUGAGACUAGCACCCAGGGAGCCCAUAGGGAGGUGGGCACAGGGCAGGUAACCGCUACCCUCCCUGCUGAGCCCCCUCCAGCUGUAGGCACCAGCCCCUUCUGCUGCUGUCUCAGCAUGCGCCAGUCCCGGGCGCCGUGGCACCGAUACAGCAUCAAGUGCACUUAGCCAGGAGCCAGGCCAGGCCGGCAGGGUGCCGGCCGCUUUGCCACUAACCAGAGCCCCACCGGCCCUGCCCUGCCAGGGAGCAGCCCACACCAGGACUGUGCCCAGAGCUCGCGCCCUCCCUGGCCCAUGGGGUGCUGCGCAGGCAGCCCCUUGCCAGCACACUUAGGGUGGGCAUGUACCAAAGCCGGCUAGUGGGGGGAGGGAGCAGCUCCCACCCCCUGCCAAGGAGCCAUGCCCCAGAGGAAGCACUGACAGCCCAGCACUGCUACCCCCCAGCCCCAGGGCACCCCACACACCAGGAUCCAGCCAACUCCUGAACUAUGGGGAGUGGGGGCAGGUAUCUCUGCCUGGGCAGCACCUGCACCCCAGGCCGGGGGUGGGAGUGUCUGCCAACACCAUCAUUAGGACAGGGAGCCCCCCUGCCCCCUGCCGGCCCUCCAGCUCUCAAGUGAGCCCUGGGCGAGGAGUGGGGGGCUGAGCUGGGAGCAUCCCCAGCUCUCAACCACAGGUUUCUGCUGCCAGGCUCAGGCCCCAUGCUGCGGUCCCUCCCAGCCCGCCUGCUGCAGCCCCAUGGCCUGGGCUGAGGGGUCCCCUCGUGCCCCCUGCAGCUCCCCACAGUGCACACGCCUCACACAGGGCCCUAAACCCCAGAGGAACCUUACGUCAAAUGGUGCUAACCCCCCGUGUCCCCCCGCCCCCGAAAACACAGCAGCCCUGUGCUGAGACAGGGCCCAGGCCCUCCCUGUGCCAGGCUGGGGGCACUGGGCUUCGCUCGGUCUGCGCAGAGGACAGACUUCCAGGCAUGCCAGCGCAGGGGGGGCGGCCUGGUGAACACAGCUGGCAGGCCAUCCCCCGCCUGAGGGGACGUGCCGCCUGGCGAGCAGCCAUCACACACAACCCAGGGCAGCAGCGGGCACUUGGCUCGCUCCCAAAGCUGACGGGGCAGGGACCUUAAUCGCCCACAACACCCCCAACACACACACCAACUGUACAGCAGGGGCUGGGGCGUCUGGGCACAGCUGGGGGGGGGGGCCAGGCCCACGGGCUGUGAUCAUGGUGGACACCAAUAAAAGUCUUUACAUUUGUCUCUUA